GGGGUUGUGGCUCAGAGGUAGAGCGCUUGCCUAGCAUGCACGAGGUACUGGGUUCAAUCCUCAGCACCACA
rnacentral:tRNA from 1 species